CACGACUCGCGAACUCAAAUCCUAUCUUCCAUUUCUCUCUCACGCCUAUAGUACUCUACUCGUUUGAGUCACUGUCGCCUUUUCCUCAAAUCGCCGACAUCGAUCGAUGCCAAUAGCAUGGGUUCCUUGAGGCUGCUAUGUUUCAGAUGUGUUCAAUCUACUUCCAAAUUUCAACGCAUUUGAACUAAUUAGAGUUGUUGCAGAUGAGUAUGUCACACCGACAUAAAAUUUCGGAGGAAGAAUGUGUUCCAGCUCAUGUCACACAAGUCAGCAACACAAAAUACAUAACAGUUAUCCUCAACAAAUUGGACCACAACAAAAGUGUCUGUUGGAGGACAAUUGUAUAGACAUGUUGCAAGGUUACCGGAGCUGAAAUUAUCCGCUCAAUUAAUUCAUGAAAUGGUAAAGAGAUCGGUGGUCUGCCAAAAGCGAUUUGAGGCUUGGUUUAAGGUGAACCAAAGGUUCGCACAAUUUUGACUGCCGGAGUUCGCAUUAGUCACCGGCUUGAAGUUUGGUCCAAUACCUAAAGGCACCGAAGUUGACAAAAUCCUAGAGAAAACAAUCUACAUGACAGAAUGUUUGCUAAUAUGGACCGGAUAACUUGUAGCGACCAGGAGAAAGUUUUCUUGAAAUGUGCCAACCAUAACGAUCGUUUCAAGCUUGGUUUGACACUAAUUAUUGAAGGGGUAUUUAAUUCAAGAGAUCGAAAUGUAUGAAUAAAUCCGACAACUCUCUAUCGUUGACGACUUGUAUUUCUUCAAUGCCACCCAUGGGGGCUAGUAUGUUUUCAACUUCUUAUCAAAUCACUGUUACGUGGAUGGGGAAGAAAAGUGGACAUAGCAAAAGUGAACGAUUGUGAUAGGAUGACUAACAUGCUGUACAGAUUUCAUCUUGCUGUCCAGGAAUACAUGUAUUUUGGUUCAUUUCAAUUCUUUUCAUCGCACAUUGUUAUGUACUUCCGAAUAUUGUUAUUACUGUUAUAAAUGUCUUGCAGAUUUGGGCGUACGAGGCAAUCCUGGAGUUUGGUGCUCAAUUCUCGAGUAAGACUUGUGACGAUGUUCUGAGGAUGUUACGGUGGUCUGACACGAAACAACGUCAUUCUCGAAAUAUUCAGAUUUUUUGAGAAGACACAUGUGAACAAUUUGCAUACGCAAUUGCUUUACACUUUCACAAUAUAUAAUAUUUUAUUUCGCCUAUUUUUCCUUUCCUUGUAGGUGCACUUGUGGGUAACGCUGCGCGCAACUGCUGUAGAAGAAUUGUAGUUGUACUUUGUUGAUCUAGUUCUGUUGGAAGAUGCAACUGACCUCGUUCUAGACGGUCUCGUUGCUCAAUCAAUAGAAGUACAAGCUUGUCCAGUUGAAGAUGAUGUUAUACGGAAUGAUGACAACAACCAUCAACCAAAUAAAUCUCAAAGACGCAACAAAGGUGGACUUCGUCAUCGAGAUUUACAUCAUGUUGAAGGCAGAGAAGAAGAGCAUGGGUAUCUGGUCAUCGAAAGGACCGUGUCUUUAGACAAGAUAAGAGCUUUCUUGAACGAACAACGGGAGGCAUUUGAGAGUAGGAUGAGCAAUUUAAGGGAGGAGAUGAACACAAUAUUUGUUAGUCUCCAAAAUGAUUUGGGAGGUCAUGUGUGCGGUUUGAGAAAUCAUGUCACUAAUGAGAUAAAUGUGCUUCGACGUAGGUUUGAUGAAGUUGCUAUAGAAAUUGGGCAACACAAUUUUGCUGAUGAGUAUGGUGGAUUUGGUCAUGAUGAUCGCAAUGGAGAUGUGUCCCAACGUGAUGUUUUAACUCCCAAUAUUUCUGCGGAUAAAUAGAAUGUCGGAGAGGCCACUGAAGCAGUUGUUUGCAAUAUCCCUAAUGUGUCCAUAACGUCGGGAGGUGAGGUUGGAGUUUUUGGGCUAGUUUACAUGCGUCCAUUGCUAAUCCACCUACACGCAGACCUUGAUCGUUGAGGCUAAAUAAGGCUAGUGCGAACACAAAGACAUCGUUCAUCCGGUCCGAUCGCAAUAGGGGUAAGAAGAAUGCGUAGUUUGUGUAUUUUGGUUGAUGGUACAUAAUCGUGAUUUGAUAUGAACUUUAUGUUGAUUCAAAUUUAGUGGUUUGUAUAUUUUUGUUUAUAUAGUGGUACGCAAUAUGUAUUUUGGUUUAUAUGGUGGUAUUUUGUCAUGUAUUUUGGUAUACUUGCAAUAUGAAAUAUCAAGCUUUAGGUUGAUUUGAA